AUCCUUUUGUAGUUCAUGAGCGUGCUGAUUGGGUGUUCACGCUGCUGCGUGACAUAUCCCUCCCCGCAAACCUUGUUACGACACCACCACAUUACCUGUCUGACG